rnacentral:sRNA from 1 species
GCCAGGCGCAGUGGUGUUCUCCUGUAAUCCCAGAGACUUAGGAGGCUGAGGCAGGAGGACUGUGAGUUCAAAGCCAGCCUCAGCAAGUUAGCGAGGCCCUAAGCAACUCAGAGAGACCCUGCCUCAA